AGGGAAUCUUCCACAAUGGACGGAAGUCUGAUGGAGCAACGCCGCGUGCGCGUUGAAGGUUUUCGGAUAGUAAAACUCUGUUGUAAGGGAAGAACCAGUAAGCUAGGCAACGGACGUACCUUGUAGGUGCCUGAUGAGAGAGCCACGGCUAACUACGGACCAGCAGCCGCGGUAAUACGUAGGUGGCAAGCGUUGUCCGGAAUUAUUGGGCGUAAAGCGCGCGCAGGUGGUUUCUUAAGUCUGAUGUGAAAGCCCACGGCUUAACCGUGGAGGGUCAUUGGAAACUGGGAGACUUGAGUGCAGAAGAGGAAAGUGGAAUUCCAAGUGUAGCGGUGAAAUGCGUAGAGAUUUGGAGGAACACCAGUGGCGAAGGCGACUUUCUGGUCUGCAACUGACGCUGAGGCGCGAAAGCAUGGGGAGCAAACA
rnacentral:rRNA from 1 species